rnacentral:misc_RNA from 1 species
GAAAUGCGAUACGUAGUGUGAAUUGCAGAAUUCAGUGAAUCAUCGAAUCUUUGAACGCACAUUGCGCCCUUUGGUAUUCCAAAGGGCAUGCCUGUUCGAGCGUCAUUUGUACCCUCAAGCUUUGCUUGGUGUUGGGCGUUUUUUGUCUUUGGUUGCCAAAGACUCGCCUUAAAAGGAUUGGCAGCCGGCCUACUGGUUUCGCAGCGCAGCACAUUUUUGCGCUUGCAAUCAGCAAAAGAGGACGGCAAUCCAUCAAGACUCCUUCUCACGUUUGACCUCGGAUCAGGUAGAGAUACCCGCUGAACUCAAGC